rnacentral:rRNA from 1 species
UUGAAAACAGGUGCUGCACGGCUGUCGUCAGCUCGUGUCGUGAGAUGUUGGGUUAAGUCCCGCAACGAGCGCAACCCUCGUCCUUAGUUGCUAGCAGUUCGGCUGAGCACUCUAAGGAGACUGCCUUCGUAAGGAGGAGGAAGGUGAGGAUGACGUCAAGUCAUCAUGGCCCUUACGCCUAGGGCUACACACGUGCUACAAUGGGGUGUACAAAGAGAAGCAAUACUGCGAAGUGGAGCCAAUCUCUAAAACAUCUCUCAGUUCGGAUUGUAGUCUGCAACUCGACUACAUGAAGCUGGAAUCGCUAGUAAUCGCAAAUCAGCCAUGUUGCGGUGAAUACGUUCCCGGGUCUUGUACUCACCGCCCGUCAAACCAUGGGAGUUGUAUUCGCCUUAAGUCGGAAUACUAAACUAGUUACCGCCCACGGCGGAUGCAGCGACUGGGGUUAAGUCGUAACAAGGUAACCGUAGGUGAACCUGCGGUUGGAUCACCUCCUUUC